AGAGUUUGAUCCUGGCUCAGAACGAACGCUGGCGGCAGGCCUAACACAUACAAGUCGAGCGCCCGCAAGGGAGCGGCAGACGGGUGAGUAACGCGUGGGAACGUGCCCUUUGGUUCGGAAUAUUCCCGGGAAACUGGGAGCAAAACCGGAUAAGCCCUUCGGGGGAAAGUUUACGCCAAAGGAUCGGCCCGCGUUAGAUUAGGUAGUUGGUGGGGUAACGGCCUACCAAGCCUACGAUCUAUAGCUGAUCUGAGAGGAUGAUCAGCCACACUGGGACUGAGACACGGCCCAGACUCCUACGGGAGGCAGCAGUGGGGAAUCUUGGACAAUGGGCGCAAGCCUGAUCCAGCCAUGCCGCGUGGAUGACUGAAGGCCCUAGGGUUGUAAAGUCCUUUCGACGGGGACGAUAAUGACGGUACCCGUAGGAGAAGCCCCGGCUAACUUCGUGCCAGCAGCCGCGGUAAUACGAAGGGGGCUAGCGUUGUUCGGAUUUACUGGGCGUAAAGGGCGCGUAGGCGGAUUUUUAAGUCGGGGGUGAAAUCCCGGAGCUCAACUCCGGAACUGCCUUCGAUACUGAAAGUCUGGAGCACGGUAGAGGUGAGUGGAAUUCCGAGUGUAGCGGUGAAAUGCGUAGA
rnacentral:rRNA from 1 species